rnacentral:tRNA from 1 species
GCCUUCGUGGUGUAAUGGUCAGCACGCUCGGCGCAUAACCAAGAGGUUUGUGGUUCGAUUCCCGGCGAAGGCG